AAUAUUGCACAAUGGAGGGAACUCUGAUGCAGCGACGCCGCGUGAGUGAAGAAGGNCUNNGGAUCNUNAAACUCUGUCCUUGGNNNNNAAAAAAAUGACGGUAGCCAAGGAGGAAGCCCCGGCUAACUACGUGCCAGCAGCCGCGGUAAUACGUAGGGGGCGAGCGUUGUCCGGAUUUACUGGGCGUAAAGGGUGAGUAGGCGGUUGUAUAUGUCAGGUGUAAAAGGCUAUGGCUUAACCAUAGUUAGCACUUGAAACUGUACAACUUGAGUGCAGGAGAGGUAAGUGGAAUUCCUAGUGUAGCGGUGAAAUGCGUAGAUAUUAGGAGGAACACCAGUGGCGAAGGCGACUUACUGGACUGUAACUGACGCUGAGUCACGAAAGCGUGGGUAGCAAACA
rnacentral:rRNA from 1 species